CGCCUCUUGCAAAACGAACGAAUAAGAGGUCCCGCCUGCCCUGUGACUAUACGUUUAACGGCCGCGGUAUUUUGACCGUGCGAAGGUAGCGCAAUCACUUGUCUCUUAAAUGGAGACCUGUAUGAAAGGCAUCACGAGGGCUUAGCUGUCUCCCCUUUAAAGUCAGUGAAAUUGAUCUCCCCGUGCAGAAGCGGGGAUUAACUCGUAAGACGAGAAGACCCUAUGGAGCUUAAGAUUCAAGGUGAUUCAUGUCAAACACCCCCCUUAAAGGAAAUGAACAAAAUGAACUCCACUGGAAUGUCUUCGGUUGGGGCGACCGCGGGGAAAGAUAAAACCCCCACAUGGACCAGGGCCACUACAGCCCUAAAACCUAGACCCACAGGUCAAAUCAACAGUAAUUCUGACCACCAAAGAGCCGGCAAUGCCGAUCAACGGACCGAGUUACCCUAGGGAUAACAGCGCAAUCUCCUCCCAGAGCCCUUAUCGACGAGGAGGUUUACGACCUCGAUGUUGGAUCAGGACAUCCUAAUGGUGCAGCCACUAUUAAGGGUUCGUUUGUUCAACGAUUAAAGUCCUACGU
rnacentral:rRNA from 1 species